UGCCAGCCGCCGCGGUAAUACGGGGGGGGCUAGCGUUGUUCGGAAUUACUGGGCGUAAAGCGCACGUAGGCGGACUAUUAAGUCAGGGGUGAAAUCCCGGGGCUCAACCCCGGAACUGCCUCUGAUACUGGUAGUCUUGAGUUCGAGAGAGGUGAGUGGAAUUCCGAGUGUAGAGGUGAAAUUCGUAGAUAUAUGGAGGAAUACCAGUGGCGAAGGCGGCCUCCUGGCUCGAUACUGACACUGAGGUGCGAAAGCGUGGGUAGCAAACAGGAUUAGAUA
rnacentral:rRNA from 1 species